rnacentral:rRNA from 1 species
UACGUAGGGGGCAAGCGUUGUCCGGAAUUAUUGGGCGUAAAGAGCGCGUAGGCGGUCCGAUAAGUCGGCUGUGAAAGUCAGGGGCUCAACCCUUGGAAGCCGGCCGAUACUGUCGGACUAGAGUCCGGAAGAGGCGAGUGGAAUUCCCGGUGUAGCGGUGAAAUGCGCAGAUAUCGGGAGGAACACCAAUGGCGAAGGCGGCAUCCUGGACCGGCAUUGACGCUGAGGAGCGAAAGCUAGGGGAGCAAACGGG